AGUCGGAGUGAACCUACUGUAAGACAACAUCUCAAAGAUGCUAUUUACCACAAGACUAGUACAGGUUAUUAGAAACUGCACAGCACAGGACUUGCAGGACUUGUGAGGACUUCACAUGAUACCAGUACUCAAAAGACCUUAGAUGAUGGCAACUAUAGAUGGACAUACAAACUACCGCCACUGCAAAAAAGGUAAUGUUAAUUUGAAAGAGCUGUGUCACAGUAUCAAGGGCUCCCUUAUCAGUUCUGCUUUCAGUACUGGAGAGUAAAAGAUAAAUUUUUUUUGUUUGAUAUUUUUUGUUUGAUGUUUUUAUUAGUACAUAUACGUUAUCUUGCACAUUUUAUCUCCCCAACAGAUUCUAAUUUGAAAGAAGUUUAUAAUGCAUGUUCGCUACUCCUAAUUCAGAAGACUGAAUCAGCCUGUGUAUCUGAAUGUUUCUCAUACUCACUCCUCUCUGCCGCUUGUCAGUUAUAAACAUAAAAUUAAAAGAAAUAAACAUUUGAAAUAUAUCAGUCUGU